GUAGGUAUAGCUCAAUGGCAGAAUGCAUGCUUACCCUACAUAAGGUCCUGGGUUCAAUCCCCAGUACUUCCA
rnacentral:tRNA from 1 species